rnacentral:rRNA from 1 species
UACAGAGACUGCAAGCGUUAUUCGGAUUCACUGGGCGUAAAGGGUGCGUAGGCGGCGCGGUAAGUCGGGUGUGAAAUCUCGGAGCUUAACUCCGAAACUGCAUUCGAUACUGCCGUGCUUGAGGACUGGAGAGGAGACUGGAAUUUACGGUGUAGCGGUGAAAUGCGUAGAUAUCGUAAGGAAGACCAGUGGCGAAGGCGGGUCUCUGGACAGUUCCUGACGCUGGGGCACGAAGGCCAGGGGAGCAAACGGG